AAAUUGAAGAGUUUGAUCAUGGCUCAGAUUGAACGCUGGCGGCAGGCCUAACACAUGCAAGUCGAACGGUAACAGGAAACAGCUUGCUGUUUCGCUGACGAGUGGCGGACGGGUGAGUAAUGUCUGGGAAACUGCCCGAUGGAGGGGGAUAACUACUGGAAACGGUAGCUAAUACCGCAUAACGUCGCAAGACCAAAGAGGGGGACCUUCGGGCCUCUUGCCAUCGGAUGUGCCCAGAUGGGAU
rnacentral:rRNA from 1 species